rnacentral:rRNA from 1 species
UGGCGGAGGAACCGUCCGCCAAGCGUCAUCAUGCCGAGAUGUCGGACAAGAGGAGCAACCUCGUCGACAUUAACGUCCCCGGCGAGAAUCGCGAGUACACCAGAACGCUCAAAAGGGGUUGAGCUCCACGACAAGGAGACGCUGGAGAUCGUCUGCACCAGCGAACCAGACAAGGCCGAUGAGGUGAUCUCCAGGCUCUGGAGGAAGUUUGGUGGCAGGCCCAAGCGCCUGACCGACACGCUGCAGCAUGACAAGUUGUUCACAUUUGCCGGUUUCAGCAUUGAAAGCGACAAGGAGAAGCUGAAGUUGUCUGGUAUGGAGAUCAACCCCAACAAGUUCAUCGACAUUCAGCGCAAGUGGAGAGUUCCAUACACUGGAAAAGAGUACGACUCCUUGACUAAUGUUGCAGCCAGCGUCAUCCACCCAUUCUACAAAGGCAUGAAGAACAAGAUCAACACGCAGGAAGACUACAAACUGUGGGGGACCAGCGAGCUGCCAGACAACCUCAUCGAGUAUGCAGGAGUAGAUGCGUAUGCCGCGUACAAGUCAUGGUUCAUGAUCGACUACAUCACAGAUGGUUCGGAAUAUGCGAAAGAGCGGGAGGCUGAAAACUUUUACGACCGCCCCUAUUGCCCCUUU